GACGAACGCUGGCGGCGUGCUUAACACAUGCAAGUCGAACGGAAAGGCCCUGCUUUUGUGGGGUGCUCGAGUGGCGAACGGGUGAGUAACACGUGAGUAACCUGCCCUUGACUUUGGGAUAACUUCAGGAAACUGGGGCUAAUACCUGAUAGGAGCUCCUGCUGCAUGGUGGGGGUUGGAAAGUUUCGGCGGUUGGGGAUGGACUCGCGGCUUAUCAGCUUGUUGGUGGGGUAGUGGCUUACCAAGGCUUUGACGGGUAGCCGGCCUGAGAGGGUGACCGGCGACAUUGGGACUGAGAGACGGCCCAGACUGCUACGGGAGGCAGCAGUGGGGAAUAUUGCACAAUGGGCGGAAGCCUGAUGCAGCAACGCCGCGUGCGGGAUGACGGCCUUCGGGUUGUAAACCGCUUUCGCCUGUGACGAAGCGUGAGUGACGGUAAUGGGUAAAGAAGCACCGGCUAACUACGUG
rnacentral:rRNA from 1 species